rnacentral:rRNA from 1 species
UGGCGGCAUGCCUAAGACAUGCAAGUCGAACGAAGUAGCCUAAUGAAGAUUGAGUGCUUGCACGAUUCUGAUUUAGAUUUCUACUUAGUGGCAGACGGGUGAGUAACACGUGGGUAACCUACCUUAGAGACUGGGAUAACAGUUAGAAAUGAUUGCUAAUACCGGAUGAUUCAUAGUUAGAUAACUAAUUAUGCUAAAAGGAGCAUUUGCUUCACUUUAAGAUGGGCUUGCGUUGUAUUAGUUAGUUGGUGGGGUAAUGGCCUACCAAGACAACGAUGCAUAUCCGAGCUGAGAGGCUGAUCGGACACACUGGGACUGAGACACGGCCCAGACUCCUACGGGAGACAGCAGUUAGGAAUAUUCGUCAAUGGGGGGAAACCCUGAACGAGCAAUGCCGCCGUGAGUGAUUAAGGUCUUAUAGAUUGUAAAACUCUGUUGUAAAGAAAGAAACCUUAAGAUAGGAAAUGAUCUUAAGCUGACGGUACUUUACCAGAAAGCCCCGGCUAACUACGUGCCAGCCGCCGC